UGAUGAUGAUGAUGAUGAUGAUGAUGAUGAUAUCGAAAAUGAUGAUGAUAAAAAUAAUCAUAAUUUUAAUCAUCAUCAUCAUCAUCAUCAUCAGCA
rnacentral:pre_miRNA from 1 species